rnacentral:rRNA from 1 species
GACGAACGCUGGCGGCGUGCCUAACACAUGCAAGUCGAGCGGGAACCUCAGGAGGGGUAACCCUCCUGAGGGGAGAGCGGCGAACGGGUGAGUAACACGUGGGCAACCUGCCCCGGACACCGGGAUAACCCAGGGAAACCUGAGCUAUACCGGAUACUCCGGCGAGAUCCCAUGGUCGCGCCGGGAAAGCUCCGACGGUCCGGGAGGGGCCCGCGGCCUAUCAGCUUGUUGGUGGGGUAACGGCCCACCAAGGCGACGACGGGUAGCUGGUCUGAGAGGACGGCCAGCCACACUGGGACUGAGACACGGCCCAGACUCCUACGGGAGGCAGCAGUGGGGGAUCUUGCGCUAAUGCGCGAAAGCGUGACGCAGCGACGCCGCGUGGGGGAUGAAGGCCCUCGGGUUGUAAACCCCUUUCGGCAGGGACGAAGCGAAAGUGACGGUACCUGCAGAAGAAGUCCCGGCUAACUACGUGCCAGCAGCCGCAGUAAAAC